rnacentral:lncRNA from 13 species
CGGGGCAGACGCAGAGGGAGUGAGGGCAGGGGAAGGAGGCGGAGGAGGAGCGGCAGGAGGAGGGCUCCGGGAGAAACCGACGAAGGCAGGAAGAGGAGGAGGAGGAGGUGGAGGCAGAGGCGGGCCAGGCCGGCCCCCUGGGUUCCCGGGUCGUGGGCGUUCCUGAGGCCGCAGAGCCCUAGGUCCCUCACCCAGCUCUGCUUCACUUGGAGCAGUACCAAGGUCUCAGGGCCUACUGUGCAGUUCCUGGUUUACAGUCCCGAGCAAAGACAGAGCCCAAGCCCUGCGGUCUUGGGUAUCAAACAAUCCCGGGAUGGCCAAACAAGCGAAUAUUCGCCAUGGCAGUGGCAGCUGGAAGGGUGGCUCACGGAGCUGACGCCCUCCGCAGAGGGCUUCCAGGUAAUAGGAGUUUGGAUCCAGAGACACACAUAG